AUUAAAGGUAUUUAAACGCUUUCAAAAUUAUGGUCAUUCAAUUAUGAAAAGGGGAUUGAACAGAUGGGCACACUUGUAUGCCAAACAUGUAACUCUACUAUUGAUCAUUUUGAAGAUGAAAAAGUAACAGUUCUUUACUCGAAAUGUAACUGUUGCGACGACCAUCACUCUGCCGAAGAAAUAUAAAAAAGCUAAAAAUAAAUAAAAACAGGAUUCCGCAGCCCGGAAUCCUGUAUUUUU
rnacentral:sRNA from 1 species